rnacentral:rRNA from 1 species
UACGUAGGGACCAAGCGUUGUUCGGAUUUACUGGGCGUAAAGGGCGCGUAGGCGGCUUAACAAGUCACUUGUGAAAUCUCCGGGCUUAACUCAGAACGGCCAAGUGAAACUGUCAAGCUAGAGUGCAGAAGGGGCAAUCGGAAUUCUUGGUGUAGCGGUGAAAUGCGUAGAUAUCAAGAGGAACACCUGCGGCGAAGGCGGGUUGCUGGGCCGACACUGACGCUGAGGCGCGAAAGCUAGGGGAGCGAACGGG